CCGGUCCCACGCAGAACACACACACAGCCGGUCCCCACCCCUGCUCCCAUUCACAACAUCCCUGGCACCACAUGGACCCGGCGAGGGAAGCCCUCGUCCGGGAAGCCCUCCUGGAUUUCUUCCCACCUCAGCGCCUUGCAAUCUGGAGCCCAGGUCUGCAUCUCAAUAUUUUGAAUUUUUCCCCUCUGCCCAAAACAGCACAGAGCCUGGCACGUGACGACUUCUUUAAUGCCCAGAUUAAUGUCCCCAGGGACGUCCCUGCAGCUGCUCCCUGAACACGGUCACAGGGUCUUGAUUCCCCGUGGUGUUCUCGGCCCCAGGGGAGAAGCCAAUAGGGGCCGUGGCAGGUAGGGAUCACCUCCUGGGGGCUCCAAGUCGGGGAGGCAGCGCGCGGUGGCAGGUGCACAUGGGGCUCUCCGGAUCCUGCCCACCCACCCUGUCGGCUCCAGAGCCAUGAAGGGGAAUUUGAAAGGGGGGCCCGCAGCCGCGGUGCAUUGCCGGCCGGUGGUGACAGCAAGAGGAGGCACAGGCAGGGCCGGAGGACCAGCACCCCAGGGUGGGGGGCGAUGGCAGGGCCUACCUGCCCGGCCAAGGGGUUCUCCAGGGGGGCAGUGAGUGGUGUUUACCCACCUGCUACCUGCUACCCUGUCACCAACUGUCCCUUCCUGCCCACCACUGCCUUGUCCUGAACACAACAACACAGUGAAUGGUUGGGUAGGGGUCCCAGGUGAGCCUUGCAGAGGGCCCAGCUGCCCCACCUGCAUCCCGGAUCAGGGGUCCCAGGUGAGCCUUGCAGAGGGCCCAGCUGCCCCACCCGCAUCCUGGGUCAGGGGUCCCAGGUGAGCCUUGCAGAGGGCUCAGCUGCCCCACCUGCACCCAGGUCAGGGGUCCCAGGUGAGCCUUGCAAGGGCCCGGCUGCCCCACCCACACCCCAGGUCAGGGGUCCCAGAUGAGCCUUGCAGAGGGCCCAGCUGCCCUACCCGCACCCUGGGUCAGGGCCCCAGCCAGGAUAUUGGGGACGUCAUGCAGAACCCAGCACCCUCCGGCGGCUCACAUCCAUCCUCCCCGGCGCCAUCACCGGCACUGGGCGCCAUGGCAGGGACACACCCCUCCACCUGCGCCCACGCUGGGUGUGCCAGUGGCCACAGAAACGCCAUGCCGGCAGCACAGAAACCUCCAAAAAGAAAAAAAGCAUUAAAAAAACCCAGACUCCGUGGCUGCGCGUGCCCGAGGCGACUGGGGAGGGCACAUUCCCCGUAGCGCCAUGGGCGUCUUUCUGGAGUGACAGGGGAGCGCCUGGUCCCCGGGUCCCUGCAGUCUCCGCAGCCCGGGGCGCGCACUGCACCAGCAACACGACCAGUGCCAUGGUUCCACCACCCCCAAGUGCUGUUGCACACUCUGAAGUCACCAUGGAAUACCAAACCAUCACAACACUGGGAGCCUGUGACAUAUCUGCAACAUGCCAUCUUCCUGUAAUGUCGCCUCCUCUUGGGUGAGUACAAUGAUGCCUGACUCAGCGUAGGGGUGCAAUAUGUGGCUGACUCAGAACCCUGUAUGUGUGCAUUGAGCUGCUUCCCAUUCUCAUAAUUAAUGCUGCCAGAAGCAUUAAUUGCACAUAUGCUUUGUAUACCUUAAAAAUAUAUAUAUAUGUUUAAUCCAGAUACCCCUGAUACGUGAAUGUGCUGCACAUACUUAUAUAAGUAUCUGGGUAUGUACAGACAUACGUGCAAUAUAACUUGCACAUGUUUCUUUGUAUACCCACAGGGAAUAAUCCUCUGGGAUGAAUUACCAGCAAUGGAAUUGCCAAAUCGAAGAGAAUGUGGGCACAGUAGAAAUGGUAAUUAGUAGACAUUGUUCAAUUUCCUUUGGAAAAUCAGGGAAGUUAACAUACCCAACACCAGCAGAGGAGAGCGUGACGUUCCCACACGGCCUCCCCCUCAUGGUGCGGAGACAACAGAAUUCCC
rnacentral:lncRNA from 12 species